GCGAACGCUGGCGGCAGGCUUAACACAUGCAAGUCGAGCGCCCCGCAAGGGGAGCGGCAGACGGGUGAGUAACACGUGGGAACGUACCCUUUGGUUCGGAACAACCCAGGGAAACUUGGGCUAAUACCGGAUAAGUCCGUAAGGAGAAAGAUUUAUCGCCAAAGGAUCGGCCCGCGUCUGAUUAGCUAGUUGGUAGGGUAAUGGCCUACCAAGGCUACGAUCAGUAGCUGGUCUGAGAGGAUGAUCAGCCACAUUGGGACUGAGACACGGCCCAAACUCCUACGGGAGGCAGCAGUGGGGAAUAUUGGACAAUGGGCGCAAGCCUGAUCCAGCCAUGCCGCGUGAGUGAUGAAGGCCUUAGGGUUGUAAAGCUCUUUUAGCGGGGAAGAUAAUGACGGUACCCGCAGAAAAAGCCCCGGCUAACUUCGUGCCAGCCGCCGCGGUAAUU
rnacentral:rRNA from 1 species